ACUGAAUCUGUCACACCGUAGAGAGGCAGGAGCCGCCAUGAAGGCCUUUUAUCAGAUCCGGCUUCCCUGCAGUGCAUAAAACGCAUUUGUGUUGUCUGGUGAAUAAAUCUGGCAGGCUCAUUUGAGUAUUUAAGGAUGAUUAGUUUACGCUGCAGCAGUCAUGGCUGUCUUUAACAGGUCUGCCAGAGGUAUCAAGGACUGGUAGCAGGCCAAAGGGAGACAGCAUUACUCAGCUGAAAGCCUCCCUCUGCAGUCUCCCAGCUGCUGCUGCUGCUGCUGCUGCUCCGGAGCCAGAGAGGAGAGUCCCCUCGCCCCCCUGCACAGACAGAGACAAAAGGCCUGAUUCGCCUGCUGAACACUGCCCCCUUUCUCUAUCCGUCCCUGCAUGCACGGCCGUAGGGUGGUGGCUUCAGGAAAAAAAAAAAGCUAGGCCCGGACUAAAGGCUAAAAUCUAGGACUGACCCAGUGAAGGAGAGUGGGAAGAGGGGGGAGGGGUGGAGGAGGAUGGGGACUGGAAUGGUUGGGGCUGAGUAAAAGCAGGUGCUGAGGCCUCUGCAGGAGAAGAUUUUUUUCUUUUUUCCUGAAUAUCUCAGUGGGAAACAAUCUGACGAGGAUUCUCUGUCCUGGAUGUAAUGCUGCUGCUGAUGAACGUUUGAAAACAAACCAGUGUGUCUGGGCUGAAAGCACUGAGGAGGAAACAGGCCAAGCUUGCAGUGUUUCCAGGGAGGUGGGCACACCGCUUCUGGCCGUGUGUUUCUGAGGCCGUACUGCAGCACGGGGCUUUGUGUUGGGCGACCGGAACCAGAUGAAACCGGUUUGAGGGAGACAGAGGGCUGACAGGAACAAUGCCGUCUCUGUGCUCCACCGAGGGAAGACGUAUCCCAGGCGAUCCCCAUUGCAGCCCUCCGCAGCUCUGCCUCUGGCGAACCAGGCAACAGACAGGGACGCUGCCGCGCGCUCGCUGGCUGCUGGCUGGAUGUCGGCGUGCAGAGGGGGGGGCAGGGAGAUUUGAGAA
ensembl:lncRNA